UGGGCUAUAGCCAAGUGGUAAGGCAUCGGGUUUUGAUCCCGAGAUGCGCUGGUUCGAACCCAGCUAGCCCAA
rnacentral:tRNA from 2 species